rnacentral:lncRNA from 1 species
UAGCAACCAAACAGCCUCACAUGUUGCUGUCAAGUGGCACCAAGAGCUCCAGCUGUUGUAAGAGAUCAUAUCUUGACUCUGUCCCAUGGAACCAAAUUGCUUCUUUUCCUGCUUCACUUCAUUCGGUGGGCGAUUAGUGGGUUUCCAACUGGAAUAUAAAGAUAAUAUCCUCCAACUAGACCAAGCCUGUGAUGCUGAGCGCCAAGAAUUCCUUUGUCCUGGUCUAACUGUUGGGAUACGCCACCGUCUCCAAAGGCUGCAAAGGUCCACAGAAUAAUGCUAAAAAACACCGCAUCCCGGGACAGCUCCCAUCUUCAGGUGGCUCCGGCUCUCGGUUUUCGGCCUCGUGCCUAACACAACUCACCCGAGGCAUCGAGAUAUCCCAGCAUAACACAAACCUUGUCAUGUCUUAUUGCUUAAAUAACACAAUAAGGAAAUUAAAAGGCUUGCUGGUUAUGAUUUUCAUUGUUA